rnacentral:rRNA from 1 species
GACGUAGGGCGCGAGCGUUGUCCGGAUUUAUUGGGUUUAAAGGGUGCGUAGGCGGUCAUGUAAGUCAGCGGUGAAAUCCGGCAGCUCAACUGUCGAUGUGCCAUUGAUACUGCAUGACUUGAGUACUGAUGAGGUAGGCGGAAUUGACGGUGUAGCGGUGAAAUGCUUAGAUAUCGUCAAGAACACCGAUAGCGAAGGCAGCUUACUAAGCAGUAACUGACGCUGAUGCACGAAAGUGUGGGGAUCAAACAGG